GACGAACGCUGGCGGCGUGCUUAACACAUGCAAGUCGAACGGAGAGGCCUGCAGCUUGCUGCGGGUACUCGAGUGGCGAACGGGUGAGUAACACGUGGGUGAUCUGCCUUGCACUUCGGGAUAAGCUUGGGAAACUGGGUCUAAUACCGGAUAGGACAGCUGUUUAGUGUCAGUUGUGGAAAGUUUUUUCGGUGCAAGAUGAGCUCGCGGCCUAUCAGCUUGUUGGUGGGGUAAUGGCCUACCAAGGCGUCGACGGGUAGCCGGCCUGAGAGGGUGUACGGCCACAUUGGGACUGAGAUACGGCCCAGACUCCUACGGGAGGCAGCAGUGGGGAAUAUUGCACAAUGGGCGGAAGCCUGAUGCAGCGACGCCGCGUGGGGGAUGAAGGCCUUCGGGUUGUAAACUCCUUUCGACAGGGACGAAGCGUAAGUGACGGUACCCGUAUAAGAAGCACCGGCUAACUACGUGCCAGCAGCCGCGGUAAUACGUAGGGUGCGAGCGUUGUCCGGAAUUACUGGGCGUAAAGAGCUCGUAGGUGGUUUGUCGCGUCGUCUAUGAAAUUCCGGGGCUUAACUCCGGGCGUGCAGGCGAUACGGGCUGACUUGAGUGCUGUAGGGGAGACUGGAAUUCCUGGUGUAGCGGUGAAAUGCGCAGAUAUCAGGAGGAACACCGAUGGCGAAGGCAGGUCUCUGGGCAGUAACUGACGCUGAGGAGCGAAAGCAUGGGUAGCGAACAGG
rnacentral:rRNA from 1 species